ACAAAAAACACAGAGCAUUUCCACUGUUUUUCUCUUUUCUUUUUCUCUCAUUUUAAUCACUCAUUUUCCUCUUCCUCUUCUUCUUCUUCUUCUUUUUUUAAUUUAGAAACUCAAAAUCUUGGAAAAUUCUUGUUUUUUUUUGGGGGGGUUUAUUUCUGUCCUUUUGUAUUUACUUCUUGAGAGAGAUUCUAAUUGGAAGGCCAUUGAGAGGAAGUGCAAAAGGACCAUAUUGAAUCCCUUCUUGUUCACCAACUACAUUCCACCUACAUUAAUUUCAAGUUCAAGAAAACAAAUUAAUCACUAUAAUUAAUAUAAAAAUAUGUAUGUAUGUAUAUAUAUAUAUAUUGU
rnacentral:lncRNA from 1 species